GUGGGGAAUAUUGGACAAUGGGCGAAAGCCUGAUCCAGCCAUGCCGCGUGUGUGAAGAAGGUCUUCGGAUUGUAAAGCACUUUAAGUUGGGAGGAAGGGCAGUAAGUUAAUACCUUGCUGUUUUGACGUUACCGACAGAAUAAGCACCGGCUAACUUCGUGCCAGCAGCCGCGGUAAUACGAAGGGUGCAAGCGUUAAUCGGAAUUACUGGGCGUAUAGCGCGCGUAGGUGGUUUUGUAAGUUGGAGGUGAAAUCCCCGGGCUCAACCUGGGAACUGACUCCAAAACUGCAUGACUAGAGUACGGUAGAGGGUAGUGGAAUUUCCUGUGUAGCGGUGAAAUGCGUAGAUAUAGGAAGGAACACCAGUGGCGAAGGCGACUACCUGGACUGAUACUGACGCUGAGGUGCGAAAGCGUGGGGAGCAAACAGGAUUAGAUACCCGAGUAGUCC
rnacentral:rRNA from 1 species